CGGGGUAUAGCUUAAGUGUUACAGCGUUUGCUUGGCACGCACAAGGUCCUGGGUUCAAUCCCCAGUACCUCCU
rnacentral:tRNA from 1 species